rnacentral:rRNA from 1 species
GACGAAGGAUCCAAGCGUUGUCCGGAUUUACUGGGUUUAAAGGGUGCGUAGGCGGAUAAAUAAGUCAGUGGUGAAAGCCUUCAGCUUAACUGAAGAAUUGCCAUUGAAACUGCUUAUCUCGAGUACGGCUGAGGUAGCUGGAAUGUAACAUGUAGCGGUGAAAUGCUUAGAUAUGUUACAGAACACCAAUUGCGAAGGCAAGCUACUAAACCGUAACUGACGCUGAGGCACGAAAGCGUGGGGAGCAAACAGG